UUAUUAGUGUGUCUUUUGCGGCGUUCGUUCUUAUUCUUCAGCUCGGCUGUUAAACUGGGCCAGGGAGACUGACUGCAGGGAAGGGAGGUAUGACGUCUACCCGGGGAAGACAGGAGUGUGAUGUAGCAGUGCUGGUGAGGAGGUCGUAGAGGUGUGGUCUGUCCUGGCAUUAUGGAGCCAGCAGGGGGCGCUCUCUCCCCCCCAGGGCCCAGCCUCGGAGCCCUUCCCUCCCCCCCUGCCCAGAACCCCUCCAGCCUCCAUCUCACCUCGCAGCAGUCCUGCUCCCUGCCUGGACUGGAUCGUGUCCCCAGCAGAGGCCUGUGGUGCGGGCCACCAGAGGGGGCAGGGGAGGGGG